AGGAUUAAAGCAGGAGAGUUUGACACUAAUAACAACGCCACCAAACAAAGCAGAACCCCCGGCUCUCCAGUGCAACUAUACAGUGAACCACUGCACCGGAUUAAAGUGGGAGAGGUCGACACUAAUAACAAUGCCGCCAAAGAAAGCAGAACCCCCAGCUCUCCAGUGCAACUAUAGAGUGGACCACAUCACCGGUACAACGAUUGACUAGAGGUCCUGGAGUCAUCAGGACAAAUAAUUCUCAACAUAUACGAAGGAUAUCUGAUGUGUUUGAGAUGACGAAGCAAUUAUGUCAAUAUGAAAUACUUAUUUGAAAAGGC